GUCUCCGUAGCUCAGCGGUUUUGGCACUGGUCUAGUAAACCAGGGGUCGGGAGUUCAUUUCUCCCCGGAGGCA
rfam:Hymenolepis nana genome assembly, scaffold: HNAJ_scaffold0003099